GCCAACAGCCAUAUCACCCUGCAGCCCAAGACUGGUUGCCCACUGAAGCUAAGCAGGGUUGAGCCUGGUAAGUACCUGGAUGGGAGGCCUCCUGGGAAAACUAGGUUGCUGCUGGAA
rnacentral:rRNA from 1 species